rnacentral:rRNA from 1 species
UGGGGAAUUUUGGACAAUGGGCGAAAGCCUGAUCCAGCAAUGCCGCGUGUGUGAAGAAGGCCUUCGGGUUGUAAAGCACUUUUGUCCGGAAAGAAAUCCUUGGCUCUAAUACAGUCGGGGGAUGACGGUACCGGAAGAAUAAGCACCGGCUAACUACGUGCCAGCAGCCGCGGUAAUACGUAGGGUGCAAGCGUUAAUCGGAAUUACUGGGCGUAAAGCGUGCGCAGGCGGUUUGCUAAGACCGAUGUGAAAUCCCCGGGCUCAACCUGGGAACUGCAUUGGUGACUGGCAGGCUAGAGUAUGGCAGAGGGGGGUAGAAUUCCACGUGUAGCAGUGAAAUGCGUGGAGAUGUGGAGGAAUACCGAUGGCGAAGGCAGCCCCCGUGGGCCAAUACUGACGCUCAUGCACGAAAGCGUGGGGAGCAAACAGGAUUAGAUACCCUGGUAGUCCACGCCCUAAACGAUGUCAACUAGUUGUUGGGGAUUCAUUUCCUUAGUAACGUAGCUAACGCGUGAAGUUGACCGCCUGGGGAGUAC